UGCACAGGUGCUGCAUGGCUGUCGUCAGCUCGUGUCGUGAGAUGUUCGGUUAAGUCCGCUAACGAGCGCAACCCUCGCUGUGUGUUAUAUGUGUCACACGGGACUGCCGGUCUUAAGCCGGAGGAAGGUGGGAUGAUGUCAAGUCAGCAUGGCCUUUAUAUCCUGGGCUACACACACGCUACAAUGGCCAACACAAUAGGUUGCUAAGCCGCGAGGUGGCGCCAAUCCAAUAAAGUUGGUCUCAGUUCAGAUUGUAGGCUGCAACCCGCCUGCAUGAAGAUGGAGUUGCUAGUAACCGCAGGUCAGCUAUACUGCGGUGGAAUAACGUUCCUCGGGGCUU
rnacentral:rRNA from 1 species